rnacentral:rRNA from 1 species
AUUGAACGCUGGCGGCAGGCCUAACACAUGCAAGUCGGACGGUAGCACAGAGGAGCUUGCUCCUCGGGUGACGAGUGGCGGACGGGUGAGUAAUGUCUGGGGAUCUGCCCGAUAGAGGGGGAUAACCACUGGAAACGGUGGCUAAUACCGCAUAACGUCGCAAGACCAAAGAGGGGGAACUUCGGGCCUCUCACUAUCGGCUGAACCCAGAUGGGAUUAGCUAGUAGGCGGGGUAACGGCCCACCUAGGCGACGAUCCCUAGCUGGUCUGAGAGGAUGACCAGCCACACUGGAACUGAGACACGGUCCAGACUCCUACGGGAGGCAGCAGUGGGGAAUAUUGCACAAUGGGCGCAAGCCUGAUGCAGCCAUGCCGCGUGUAUGAAGAAGGCCUUCGGGUUGUAAAGUACUUUCAGCGGGGAGGAAGGCGAUAAGGUUAAUAACCUUGUCGAUUGACGUUACCCGCAGAAGAAGCACCGGCUAACUCCGUGCCAGCCGCCGCAGUAA